rnacentral:rRNA from 1 species
AGGAUGAACGCUGGCGGCGUGCCUAAUACAUGCAAGUCGAGCGAACGGACGAGAAGCUUGCUUCUCUGAUGUUAGCGGCGGACGGGUGAGUAACACGUGGAUAACCUACCUAUAAGACUGGGAUAACUUCGGGAAACCGGAGCUAAUACCGGAUAAUAUUUUGAACCGCAUGGUUCAAAAGUGAAAGACGGUCUUGCUGUCACUUAUAGAUGGAUCCGCGCUGCAUUAGCUAGUUGGUAAGGUAACGGCUUACCAAGGCAACGAUGCAUAGCCGACCUGAGAGGGUGAUCGGCCACACUGGAACUGAGACACGGUCCAGACUCCUACGGGAGGCAGCAGUAGGGAAUCUUCCGCAAUGGGCGAAAGCCUGACGGAGCAACGCCGCGUGAGUGAUGAAGGUCUUCGGAUCGUAAAACUCUGUUAUUAGGGAAGAACAUAUGUGUAAGUAACUGUGCACAUCUUGACGGUACCUAAUCAGAAAGCCACGGCUAACUACGUGCCAGCAGCCGCGGUAAUACGUAGGUGGCAAGCGUUAUCCGGAAUUAUUGGGCGUAAAGCGCGCGUAGGCGGUUUUUUAAGUCUGAUGUGAAAGCCCACGGCUCAACCGUGGAGGGUCAUUGGAAACUGGAAAACUUGAGUGCAGAAGAGGAAAGUGGAAUUCCAUGUGUAGCGGUGAAAUGCGCAGAGAUAUGGAGGAACACCAGUGGCGAAGGCGACUUUCUGGUCUGUAACUGACGCUGAUGUGCGAAAGCGUGGGGAUCAAACAGGAUUAGAUACCCUGGUAGUCCACGCCGUAAACGAUGAGUGCUAAGUGUUAGGGGGUUUCCGCCCCUUAGUGCUGCAGCUAACGCAUUAAGCACUCCGCCUGGGGAGUACGACCGCAAGGUUGAAACUCAAAGGAAUUGACGGGGACCCGCACAAGCGGUGGAGCAUGUGGUUUAAUUCGAAGCAACGCGAAGAACCUUACCAAAUCUUGACAUCCUUUGACAACUCUAGAGAUAGAGCCUUCCCCUUCGGGGGACAAAGUGACAGGUGGUGCAUGGUUGUCGUCAGCUCGUGUCGUGAGAUGUUGGGUUAAGUCCCGCAACGAGCGCAACCCUUAAGCUUAGUUGCCAUCAUUAAGUUGGGCACUCUAAGUUGACUGCCGGUGACAAACCGGAGGAAGGUGGGGAUGACGUCAAAUCAUCAUGCCCCUUAUGAUUUGGGCUACACACGUGCUACAAUGGACAAUACAAAGGGCAGCGAAACCGCGAGGUCAAGCAAAUCCCAUAAAGUUGUUCUCAGUUCGGAUUGUAGUCUGCAACUCGACUACAUGAAGCUGGAAUCGCUAGUAAUCGUAGAUCAGCAUGCUACGGUGAAUACGUUCCCGGGUCUUGUACACACCGCCCGUCACACCACGAGAGUUUGUAACACCCGAAGCCGGUGGAGUAACCUUUUAGGAGCUAGCCGUCGAAGGUGGGACAAAUGAUUGGGGUGAAGUCGUAACAAGGUAGCCGUAUCGGAAGGUGCGGCUGGAUCACCUCCUUU